AUUCCAGCUUCAUGCAGGCGAGUUGCAGCCUACAAUCCGAACUGAGAGGCGUUUUGAAGAUUGGCUCCACUUCGCAGUAUUGCUUCUCUUUGUGCACCCCAUUGUAGCACGUGUGUAGCCCUAGGCGUAAGGGCCAUGAUGACUUGACGUCGUCCCCACCUUCCUCCUCCUUACGGAGGCAGUAUCCUUAGAGUUCUCAGCAUGACCUGUUAGCAACUAAGAAAGGGGGUUGCGCUCGUUGCGGGACUUAACCCAACAUCUCACGACACGAGCUGACGACAGCCGUGCAGCACCUGUUUUCAAGGUCUAGCAAGCUAGACACUCCACUAUUUCUAGCGGAUUCUCUCAAUGUCAAGCCUAGGUAAGGUUCUUCGUGUAUCUUCGAAUUAAACCACAUGCUCCACCGCUUGUGCGGGUCCCCGUCUAUUCCUUUGAGUUUUAAUCUUGCGACCGUACUCCCCAGGCGGGAUGCUUAAUGCGUUAGCUGCAUUACUGGAGAGACUAAGCCCUCCAACAACUAGCAUCCAUCGUUUAGGGCGUGGACUACCAGGGUAUCUAAUCCUGUUUGCUCCCCACGCUUUCGCGCAAUCAGCGUCAGUAAUGUUCCAGCAGGUCGCCUUCGCAAUGAGUAUUCCUCUUGAUCUCUACGGAUUUUACCCCUACACCAAGAAUUCCACCUACCUCUCCCACACUCUAGAAUAGUAGUUUCAAAUGCAGUUCUAUGGUUAAGCCAUAGGAUUUCACACCUGACUGACUAUCCCGCCUACGCGCUCUUUACGCCCAGUGAUUCCGAGUAACGCUUGCACCCUCCGUAUUACCGCGGCUGCUGGCACGGAGUUAGCCGGUGCUUAUUCGUUAGAUACCGUCAUUAUCUUCUCUAACAAAAGGAGUUUACAAUCCUAAAACCUUCAUCCUCCACGCGGCGUUGCUGCUUCAGGGUUUCCCCCAUUGAGCAAUAUUCCCUACUGCUGCCUCCCGUAGGAGUCUGGACCGUGUCUCAGUUCCAGUGUGUCCGUUCACCCUCUCAGGCCGGAAACCCCGUCAUAGCAG
rnacentral:rRNA from 1 species